GUUAAAAAUGGUGCACGUGAUGGGAGUGUUAAUAUAAAGCGUCCAAAUUUGUUUGGAGUGCCUAUUCCCACAGAAAUUUUGUUUUAGAUGAUGACUGUUCAGACCUGGCAAGUUCAAGCAAAAAAUAUAGAAAACGAAUUAAGGAAGUGCACAGGGACGUACUGAGGACCCUUAAUUCGUGAAUUAGCCCUUUUCUCGCUGCUCAUUGACGUGGAUAAAUGAACGUGCAAGACACGCACGACUAAAAAGUCAUACAUCACCAAGUCGUCCACCCCAAAUGCAAAUCGGCAACAAGUGGUUAUUAACUUUAAUAACACAGGGGUGACUAACACAGGUCUGGUUUUAUUAUUGUAUUACUAAUGGUAAAAACAUGCAGCAACGGUUUUGGGGGGUAAAAAGUUUUCUGUAUCAUUUAACACGUUGUGACCAUUAAAUUAUUGAGUAAUUGAAUGUUUUAUUAAAACAAACACCAAUAAUUCAUGGUAAAUUUUAGGUCACGUUGCAAAACCGAAUUUUACAACUGACACUUUUAGAGCGUUACUAUUAAUACAGUGUGCGAAAUGCAAGAAACACACAAACCCAAACAAAUUUUCGAAACAAUACGGUGCAGUUGGUGUUCAAAAAGCACCUAAAACAGAAAUGAAAGUUGAGACUUACGGUGUGU